UACGUAGGGUCCGAGCGUUGUCCGGAAUUACUGGGCGUAAAGCGUGCGCAGGCGGCUUUCCAAGCGCCACGUGAAAGCCCCGGGCUCAACCCGGGAGGGUCGUGGCGAACUGGGAGGCUUGAGGCCGGUAGAGGUGGGUGGAACUCCUGGUGGAGUGGUGAAAUGCGUAGAUAUCGGAAGGAACACCGGUGGCGAAAGCGGCGCGCUGGACUUCUACUGACGCUGAGGCGCGAAAGCCAGGGGAGCAAACGGG
rnacentral:rRNA from 1 species